CAACAUAGGAGCAUCCAGUUAGGAAACUUUCUCGGCACAUCAUUUAGGUUGUGAGAACAUCCCCCCCAUAAGAAUAUCUCUACUGGACUCAGACCCCUUCGUUGAUUUUUACUUUUAUCAUUCUCGCUAAUACUUCUUUAACUAACAGUCUAACAGAUAGUGCAGUUAUCCAGCCACGAGAACAUCCCUGAGAAAAUAUCUUCCCUAAUCCUAAGCCCCUCAGCCAUUCAGGAACCAAGAACAAGGCAAAGUUACAACAAAACCAGAUGAGGUCGGCAUACAUGGUGGCAUAAGGUGAGGCGAUGUCAGCAAUGAAUUAUCACUCGAUAAUGUCUGCAAACUGAGCGUGUCAGAUAGCAAGCAUGGGAUGGUAUGCGGUCAACCUCAGGUAAGGUCAAUCUCUCAUUCCUGGACCCUUAUCUAUGUCAGACGUUGCUUUGAUUGAUGCUCCCAGAGGUGAUUAUGACCUUACGUUAGCCCUUACCGAUGGUUGCCUUCCGUCCACAUGGGAGACUGGUAGUUGGAGCAUGGGUUGAUCCACGAGGAGUUGUAUCUUUAUAUAAGGAGCCGAAGGUUGAUCAAACGGACUCUCUUGGCUAUUUUGUAAAAAUAAAUAACUACUGUGAGUAAAAUGUAGUAGAUUGACUUAGUUAA